rnacentral:rRNA from 1 species
UUUAUGGAGAGUUUGAUCCUGGCUCAGGAUGAACGCUGGCGGCGUGCCUAAUACAUGCAAGUCGAGCGAACAGAUAAGGAGCUUGCUCCUUUGACGUUAGCGGCGGACGGGUGAGUAACACGUGGGUAACCUACCUAUAAGACUGGAAUAACUCCGGGAAACCGGGGCUAAUGCCGGAUAACAUGUUGAACCGCAUGGUUCUACAGUGAAAGACGGUCUUGCUGUCACUUAUAGAUGGACCCGCGCCGUAUUAGCUAGUUGGUGGGGUAACGGCCUACCAAGGCGACGAUACGUAGCCGACCUGAGAGGGUGAUCGGCCACACUGGAACUGAGACACGGUCCAGACUCCUACGGGAGGCAGCAGUAGGGAAUCUUCCGCAAUGGGCGAAAGCCUGACGGAGCAACGCCGCGUGAGUGAUGAAGGUCUUCGGAUCGUAAAGCUCUGUUGUUAGGGAAGAACAAAUGUGUAAGUAACUGUGCACAUCUUGACGGUACCUAACCAGAAAGCCACGGCUAACUACGUGCCAGCAGCCGCGGUAAUACGUAGGUGGCAAGCGUUAUCCGGAAUUAUUGGGCGUAAAGCGCGCGUAGGCGGUUUUUUAAGUCUGAUGUGAAAGCCCACGGCUCAACCGUGGAGGGUCAUUGGAAACUGGAAAACUUGAGUGCAGAAGAGGAAAGUGGAAUUCCAUGUGUAGCGGUGAAAUGCGCAGAGAUAUGGAGGAACACCAGUGGCGAAGGCGGCUUUCUGGUCUGCAACUGACGCUGAUGUGCGAAAGCGUGGGGAUCAAACAGGAUUAGAUACCCUGGUAGUCCACGCCGUAAACGAUGAGUGCUAAGUGUUAGGGGGUUUCCGCCCCUUAGUGCUGCAGCUAACGCAUUAAGCACUCCGCCUGGGGAGUACGGUCGCAAGACUGAAACUCAAAGGAAUUGACGGGGACCCGCACAAGCGGUGGAGCAUGUGGUUUAAUUCGAAGCAACGCGAAGAACCUUACCAAAUCUUGACAUCCUUUGACCGCUCUAGAGAUAGAGUUUUCCUCUUCGGAGGACAAAG